GAUUUUUAACGGCCGCGGUAUUUUGACUGUGCAAAGGUAGCAUAAUCAAUUGUCUUUUAAUUGUAGACUAGAAUGAAAGGUUGGACUUAGCAAGUCUGUCUCGGUAUUAUUAUGAUUCUAUAUUUUAAGUAAAAAUACUUAAAUGAAAAAAUGGGACGAGAAGACCCUAUCAAGCUUUAUAUCUACUCAUUUUUUAUUUGUUAUUAGAAGUGAAUAAAAUAUUUUGCUGGGGCGGCAACUUAGCAUAAAACGUAAGGGGAAAGCUGAUAUUAAGAUCCAUAAGCUUUGAGUAUGAGAUUAAGUUACUAUAGGGAUAACAGCGUAAUAUAGUCUGAGAGUUCUUAUUGAUGAUUAUGUUUGUGACCUCGAUGUUGAUUUAAUAUUCCUUUGAGGGGUAAGUGAUUCAUAAGGUGGUUUGUUCAACCAUUAAAUUUUUAUA
rnacentral:rRNA from 1 species